rnacentral:snoRNA from 12 species
AGUGGCCCUUAUCAAAGCUGCAGCUGCUUCCAUUUACCUGCUGUGGUCAAAUAGGAGCCCAAAGUGUCAUUUUUCCUUGAUGGUCGCUGUUCUGUUUGUUAUAACAGUUUUGCAACAUUUUAGGAAAAGACAAUU